UCCCAUAUGGUCUAGCGGUCAGGAUUCUUGGUUUUCACCCAGGUGGCCGGGUUCGACCCCGGUAUGGGAA
rnacentral:tRNA from 1 species